rnacentral:rRNA from 1 species
UACGGAGGGUGCGAGCGUUGUCCGGAAUCACUGGGCGUAAAGGGCGCGUAGGCGGCGCGGGAAGUCAACGGUGAAAGCUUGGGGCUCAACUCCGAGUCUGCCGUCGAUACUCCCGUGCUCGAGCACUGUAGAGGCAGAUGGAAUUCCGGGUGUAGCGGUGGAAUGCGUAGAGAUCCGGAAGAACACCGGUGGCGAAGGCGGUCUGCUGGGCAGUAGCUGACGCUGAUGCGCGACAGCGUGGGGAGCAAACAGG